CAAGUAUAUGUUCAGCUUCCCCCCACACUUGGAUCACAAUCAAAAGCAAGAAGAGAAUUUGGAAUAUGACCCGAUGGAUGGAAGGAUAUUAUGGCCUCCUAUUGCUGUUGGCGUUGAGAACGAAUUGUGGUCUGCAUGUCGCUGAUUUUGUUCGCUAUGCGUGCUAAAUGAGUAGCAACGCGCUCCAAGAUAUUUUCAAAGCGACUCUCCAUCUGAUC
rnacentral:lncRNA from 1 species